UUAUAUACGCCCGCGUUGGUUGGUCUCGAAAUUAGGACUACCGCGAAUUUUCGAUUUACAAGAGCUCGAACUCGAACAGGAGUCAAAGACGGAGUCAUAGUUAUUGCGAUUGGUGAGAAAAAUUCCAGAAAAAAAAUAAAAUCGGGAAAACCGAAGUUCUUAUAGUCUCGGAAAUAAUUGCUAAAUUGACGGGUGAAAAUUCAAUACGAUUCUUAUGAAUUACACGUAACGGUUUGUCGUCGCUAGUGACGUUUCCGAAAGUUUGGCUGUGUAAAACGCGUACGCGCUAUACUCGGAUUUUAUUUUUUCUAUAUAAAACCAGAUAAAUAUUUAAAAAUCAAAAAAAAAAAUAAAAAAAAAUACCAAUAAAUAAUGCGAAAUUUUCCAGAGUUUUGAGUUUUGACAACUUUACCGCGUUUACAAAAAUAACUCUUAUCGUUUUUCUUUGGAGUGUAAUUUCUGGUGGAAAAAGUGUACACGUACACAAUAUCGAAACUUUAAUAUCUAAAAAAAAAAUCACGUAUACAUUACGAUAAGUCCAAUAUAAUUCAGCAGCGUUCAGAAUCCAAAAUCGUCGCUAUGGUAAAAUUGAUAAAAAAAAAAAAUCUGCCGUAACGAGUACUUUUAUAGUUUCUAGCGUUUCUAGAAGUCAAACUGAAAUAUCAAACUAACUUGAACAGUAACUACCAAAAAAAAAAAAAAAAGCGAAUUUCCCGGGUAAAUUUAAAUCCCGCCGUUAUUAUUCGUUUCCCGGUUUAUCCGUCGAAACUUCAUUUUUGGCGUCCUCCGGUUCACUAAUUUUGAAGAGGGGGGAGGGGGGUAAACGUAUUGUCAUCCGUACACACAUACAUCCGGCGAUCGAUUUCGUAUCGCGGUUAUCAACAGCCGUUUCAACGCCGAAUUCGUGUUAAAAAAAAAAAUAAUAAUAAUAAUAAAACGUUGAACGAACGGAUUUUUCGGAUUUUUGUUUUUAUCGUUCCGCGACC